AUUGAACGCUGGCGGCAUGCCUUACACAUGCAAGUCGAACGGUAACGGGUCCUUCGGGAUGCCGACGAGUGGCGAACGGGUGAGUAAUAUAUCGGAACGUGCCCAGUAGUGGGGGAUAACUGCUCGAAAGAGCAGCUAAUACCGCAUACGACCUGAGGGUGAAAGGGGGGGAGUCGCAAGACCUCUCGCUAUUGGAGCGGCCGAUAUCAGAUUAGCUAGUUGGUGGGGUAAAGGCCUACCAAGGCUACGAUCUGUAGUUGGUCUGAGAGGACGACCAGCCACACUGGGACUGAGACACGGCCCAGACUCCUACGGGAGGCAGCAGUGGGGAAUUUUGGACAAUGGGCGCAAGCCUGAUCCAGCAAUGCCGCGUGCAGGAAGAAGGCCUUCGGUUGUAACU
rnacentral:rRNA from 1 species